rnacentral:rRNA from 1 species
UUAGAUACCCUGGUAGUCCACGCUGUAAACGAUGAGUACUAGCUGUUGGAGUCGGUGUAAAGGCUUUAGUGGCGCAGUUAACACGAUAAGUACUCCGCCUGGGGACUACGGCCGCAAGGCUAAAACUCAAAGGAAUUGACGGGGACCCGCACAAGCGGUGGAGCAUGUGGUUUAAUUCGAUGCAACGCGAAGAACCUUACCUGGUCUUGACAUCCUGCGAGCUUUCUAGAGAUAGAUUGGUGCCUUCGGGAACGUAGUGACAGGUGCUGCAUGGCUGUCGUCAGCUCGUGUUGUGAAAUGUUGGGUUAAGUCCCGCAACGAGCGCAACCCCUAUUGAUAGUUACCAUCAUUAAGUUGGGUACUCUAUUGAGACUGCCGCUAACAAGGCGGAGGAAGGUGGGGACGACGUCAAGUCAUCAUGGCCCUUACGACCAGGGCUACACACGUGCUACAAUGGGUAUUACAGAGGGCUGCGAAGGAGCGAUCUGGAGCGAAACUCAAAAAGGUACUCUUAGUCCGGAUUGCAGUCUGCAACUCGACUGCAUGAAGUCGGAAUCGCUAGUAAUCGCAGGUCAGAAUACUGCGGUGAAUACGUUCCCGGGUCUUGUACACACCGCCCGUCACACCAUGGGAGUGGGUUGCUCCAGAAGUAGAUAGCUUAACGAAUGGGCGUUUACCACGGAGUGAU